rnacentral:rRNA from 1 species
GAUGAACGCUGGCGGCAUGCUUUACACAUGCAAGUCGGACGGGAAGUGGUGUUUCCAGUGGCGGACGGGUGAGUAACGCGUGAGAACCUGCCCUUGGGAGGGGAACAACAGCUGGAAACGGCUGCUAAUACCCCGUAGGCUGAGCAGCGAAAGGAGGAAUCCACCCAAGGGGGGGCUCGCGUCUGAUUAGCUAGUUGGUGAGGUAAUAGCUUACCAAGGCCGUGAUCAGUAGAUGGUCCGAGCGGAUGAUCGGCCACACUGCGACUGAGACCAGCAGCAGGCAACUUUGGGAGACAGGAGUGAGGAAGUUCCAGCAAUGGGGGAAGGAGUGACAAGGCAAUGCGGCGGGGAGGUACAUGGCUUACGAGUGAUGAAGUUCUUGUCAUUGCGAAGAAACAAUGACGGUAUCUGAAGAAUAAGCACCGGCUAACUCUGUG